CCGUGGCGAAUAGCUCCGUAACACGUGGCCAAACUACCCUAUGGAUCGGAAUAACCUCGGGAAACUGAGGCUAAUACCGAAUACCGCUCUCAUCCUGGAACUGGAGAGAGCACCAAACGCUCCGGCGCCAUAGGAUGUGGCUGCGGCCGAUUAGGUAGACGGUGGGGUAACGGCCCACCGUGCCGAUAAUCGGUACGGGUUGUGAGAGCAAGAGCCCGGAGACGGUAUCUGAGACAAGAUACCGGGCCCUACGGGGCGCAGCAGGCGCGAAACCUUUACACUGCACGAACGUGCGAUAAGGGGACUCCAAGUGCGAGGGCAUACAGUCCUCGCUUUUCUGUACCGUAAGGUGGUACAGGAAUAAGAGCUGGGCAAGACCGGUGCCAGCCGCCGCGGUAAUACCGGCAGCUCGAGUGAUGGCCAAUAUUAUUGGGCCUAAAGCGUCCGUAGCUGGCCGAACAGGUCCGUCGGGAAAUCCGCUCGCUCAACGAGCGGACGUCCGGCGGAAACCAGUCGGCUUGGGACCGGAAGACCCGAGGGGUACGGCCGGGGUAGGAGUGAAAUCCUGUAAUCCUGGCCGGACCACCGGUGGCGAAAGCGCCUCGGGAAGACGGAUCCGACAGUGAGGGACGAAAGCUAGGGUCACGAACCGGAUUAGAUACCCGGGUAGUCCUAGCUGUAAAC
rnacentral:rRNA from 1 species